rnacentral:lncRNA from 10 species
GGAGAAGCCCCUGAAGUUUCUUGUUCCAGAGGGAGAGACGGAGAAGAGGGACUAUCUCCCACUGCACAGGCCUUGCAUCCUUCCCCAGUGUCCCUCUGCCCCACAACUUGUUCCAGCCUCUGAGGAAGAUGCACUCUAAGAAUCGGAUGGAGUUUUUGCCCAGGCUGGAGUGCAAUGGCAAUCUCGGCUCACCACAACCUCUGCCUCCCGGGUUCAAGCGAUUCUCCUGCCUCAGCCUCCCGAGUAACUGGGAUUACAGGCGCCCACCACCACACCUGGCUAAUUUUUUGUAUUUUUGGUAGAGACAGGGUUUCUCCAUGUUGCUCAGGCUGGUCUCGAACUCCCGACCUCAGGUGAUCUGCCUGCCUUGGCCUCCCAAAGUGCUGGGAUUACAGGCGUGAGCCACCGCGCCCAGCUGAGAUUCUCUUCUUAUCUUAUAUCCUCUCACCUGCCUUCCUUUCUUUUUUUUUUUUUUUUCUCACAGUCUCACUCUGUUGCCAGUACUGGAGUGCAGUGGCAUCAUGAUCUUGGCUCACUGAAGCCUUGACAUCCUGGUCUCAGCCGGGCUCGGUGGCUCAUGCCUGUAAUCCCAGCACUUUGGGAGGCCGAGGCAGGCAGAUCACGAGGUCAGGAGAUAAAGACCAUCCUGGCUAACACAGUGAAACACAAAAAAUUAGCCAGGUAUGGUGGCGGGCGCCUGUAGUCCCAGCUACUCAGGAGACUGAGGCAGGAGAAUGGUGUGAGGGCCCCACCCUCAAGAUUGCGUCCAACCCCAAUUCCCUUUUUUUUUUUUUUUGAGACAGAGUCUCACUCUGUUGCCCAGGCUGGAGUACAGUGGCGCGAUCUUGGCCCACUGCAACCUCGACCUCAUGGAUUCAAGUGAUUCUCCUGCCUCAGCCUCCCGAGUAGCUGGGAUUACAGGCACGCGCCACCACACCCAGCUAAUUUUUUGUAUUUUUAGUAGAGACAGGUUUCGCCACGUCGGCCAGGCUAGUCUUGAACGCCUGACCUCAGGGUAUCUGCCCUCCUCAGCCUCUCAAAGUGCUGGGAUUACAGGCAUGAACCACUGUGCCCAAGUGUAUUAUUUUCGAGACAGAGUCUCACUCUGUCACCCAGGCUGGAGUUCAGUGGUUCAAUCAGGACUCAUGGCAGCCUUGACCUCCUGGGCUCAAGUGAUCCUGCCUGAGCCUCCUGAGUAGCUGGCACCGUGGGCACACACAACCGCAUUCCAUUGGAGUUGACCACUUUGAGCCCAGUGUAGGCCCAGGGGUCUUUGGAUUCUGCACUCAGUACAGACUGUGCAGCCAGAUGGCUCAGAUAAGGGACCUCGCCACUCUCUGCCUCAGUUCCUUUUUCUUUGAGAGAUGGGGUUGGGCAACUCGCUCGGGUCCCCUUCCACACUGUGGAAGCUUUGUUCUUUCGCUCUUUGCAAUAAAUCUUGCUACUGCUCACUCUUUGGGUCCACACUGCCUUUAAGAGCUGUAACACUCACCGCAAAGGUCUGUAGCUUCACUCCCGAGCCAGCGAGACCACGAACCCACCAGAAGGAAGAAACUCCGAACACAUCUGAACACCAGAAGGAACAAACUCUGGACACGCCACCUUUAAGAACUGUAACACUCACCGCGAGGGUCCGCGGCUUCAUUCUUGAAGUCAGUGAGACCAAGAACCCACCAAUUCCGGACACAUUUUGGCGACCCAGAUGGGACCUUCGCCAAUUGCCGAGCGGUGAGACCAUCGCCUAUCGCUGAGCGGUGAGACAAUCACCUAUCGCCAAGCAAUGAGCAAAUGGAGACACAAAGAGAUGACAUAAUGUGGCCAAGGUUUCAUUCUAGUAAGUUGCUGAUCUGGAAUUCUAACCCAGGAAGUCCUGUCUCCGGCGUCUAUGAUUUCACCCACUACACUAUACUUCUUAAGCAUGUCAAGAAAGUGAGAACUUUAAAUUGAUUUAAUUAGACUAACUAUGAAAGUCUGAAAAUAAAAUUGAUUCAUUGGAAAAAAAAAAAAAGAGAGAGAGACGGGGUCUCACUCUGUUGCCCAGGCUGAAGUGUGAUGGUGCAAUCAUUGCUUCCUGCAGCCUUGAAUCCCUGGGCACAAGUGAUCCUCCUGCCUCAGCCUCUCAAAGUGUUAGGAUUACAGGGGUGAGUCACGGUGCCCGGCCACUGUCUUAGUUUCUUUAUCUGCCAAAUGGGGUAGUGAUACUGCCUCCCUUCUAGUGUUUGGGAGAAGGAUGAAGUGAAUAUGCACAAUGCUUUGAACAGUGCCAGGCACAUGGUCUCCACCACGUCAGUGUGAAUUAUGACUGUUCUUGUUAUUCUUAUUCCCACCACUGCCCUCCUGGGUCCAGCAUCCAUCAUCCUAGUCCCUGGUCUCUUAGCUGCUAUGUCUGACCCCUCAAAUCCACAAACAGCUAGAAGGACCUAGCUGUUUUUUAAUUUUAAUGUUUUUUUUUUUUUUUUGAGACAGGGUCUUGCUGUGUUGCCCUAGCUAGCUGGUCUCCAACUCCUGAGCUCAAAGAAUCCUCCGACUUCAGCUUCCCGAGUAGCUGGGAAUACAGGUACACACCACCCCACUCAGCUUAGAACGGUAUUUUUAUAAACAAAUUCCAUCAUGCCAAAAAAAUCUGGAAAAGAAUCCGGCGGCUGUGGCUCACACCUGUAAUCCUAGCACUUUGGGAGGCCGAGGCGGGCAGAUCACUUGAGGUCAGGAAUUCGAGACCAGCCUAGACAGUGUGAUGAAACCCUGUCUCUAUUAAAAAUACAUAAAUUAGCUGGGUAUAGUGGCAGGCACCUGUAGUUCCAGCUAUUCGGGGGGCUAAGGCAGUAGAAUCGCUUGAGCCCGGGAGGUGGAGGUUGCAAUGAGCUGAGAUUGCUCCACUGCAGUCCAGCCUGGGCGACGGGAUUGAGACUCCGUUUAAAAAAACAAAACAAAACAAAAACAAACAAACCAAAAAAAAAAAACCAACCCAAAAUUGGAGAAGUACAAUCCAGUAGAAAAAUAACAUGAAAUAUAAUUUUCAAUAUUCUAUUAGCCACAUUUUUUAAAAGUAAAAAGAAACAGGUGAUAUCAAUUUUAAUAAUUCUUUUUAUUUAUCCCAACGCAUCCAAAAUGUUAUCAUCUCAACAUGUAAUGAAAUAGAGACAAGGUCUCUGUCACCCAGGCUGGAGUGCAGUAGUGCAAUCAGUACUCACUGCAGCCUUGACCUCCUGGGUUCAAACGAUCCUGCCUCAACCUCCCGAGUAGGGGGGACCAUGGGCACACACCACUACAUUCUGUUGGAGUUGAC